ACCUGGCUGGGAGAGGAACAGGACUCUCCACUCUUGUUGGCUCUACAGCUCCCAGCGGACCUGUGGACGGCCAGGCAGCAGGGGGUGCGGAACAGUGCCUUCACACACUGCUGUCAGCGCUGUGGUUUCACGUCUCAUCACUGCCUUAUCCACUCUACAGUUUGGAUUUUACCCACAGGAAAAGUUUUGGUGACAUCAUUCUGCCAAGUGAGUGUAGAAGAUGGUUUGAAACCUGUCUUGCUAAAAUGGAGACUCUGACUCAGCAGGUCUGGGGAUGGGCCCCCCGGUGAUGUCAUUGCCGCUGGUCACUAGACUACCCUUUGAGGGUCCAAGAGCACUGUCUGAUGGGGUCUCCCGUAGAAGUUAUGGAAAUCUCAGGGAAGAGAGGCAUUCCUCCCGAGGCCUCAGUCACACAGCUGAGUUCUGGCCACUGGAAUGUGAGCAGAAGUGACCUGAGCCACUUCCACCAAGCGGAGACUGCCCCAUGCAUGGCUCCCUGCGCUUCUGUCCCCAUCCCCUGGGUAGACAGGAGCACUCUGAGGACCAGGAGGAGGUUGGAGCCUGGAGAUGGAAGGACCCUCAGUCCCUCAGUGUCUGGAUGGCUGCUUGGGGUCAACGUGCACAGGACUGUGACUUAGGGGGGAAAACAAAAAUACAAAUGCAGGUUUAUUGUGCU
rnacentral:lncRNA from 1 species